rnacentral:rRNA from 1 species
AUUGAACGCUGGCGGCAGGCCUAACACAUGCAAGUCGAGCGGUAGAGAGGAGCUUGCUUCUCUUGAGAGCGGCGGACGGGUGAGUAAUGCCUAGGAAUCUGCCUGGUAGUGGGGGAUAAUGUUCGGAAACGGACGCUAAUACCGCAUACGUCCUACGGGAGAAAGUGGGGGAUCUUCGGACCUCACGCUAUCAGAUGAGCCUAGGUCGGAUUAGCUAGUUAGUGAGGUAAAGGCUCACCAAGGCGACGAUCCGUAACUGGUCUGAGAGGAUGAUCAGUCACACUGGAACUGAGACACGGUCCAGACUCCUACGGGAGGCAGCAGUGGGGAAUAUUGGACAAUGGGCGCAAGCCUGAUCCAGCCAUGCCGCGUGUGUGAAGAAGGUCUUCGGAUUGUAAAGCACUUUAAGUUGGGAGGAAGGUCAGUAGCUUAAUACGUUGCUGAUUUGACGUUACCGACAGAAUAAGCACCGGCUAACUCUGUGCCAGCAGCCGCGGUAACAC